AUUGAACGCUGGCGGCAGGCCUAACACAUGCAAGUCGAACGGCAGCACAGAAGAGCUUGCUCUUUGGGUGGCGAGUGGCGGACGGGUGAGUAAUGUCUGGGAAACUGCCCGGUGGAGGGGGAUAACUACUGGAAACGGUAGCUAAUACCGCAUAACGUCGCAAGACCAAAGUGGGGGACCUUCGGGCCUCACACCAUCGGAUGUGCCCAGAUGGGAUUAGCUAGUAGGUGGGGUAAUGGCUCACCUAGGCGACGAUCCCUAGCUGGUCUGAGAGGAUGACCAGCCACACUGGAACUGAGACACGGUCCAGACUCCUACGGGAGGCAGCAGUGGGGAAUAUUGCGCAAUGGGCGCAAGCCUGAUGCAGCCAUGCCGCGUGUAUGAAGAAGGCCUUCGGGUUGUAAAGUACUUUCAGCGGGGAGGAAGGCGGUGAGGUUAAUAACCUCGCCGAUUGACGUUACCCGCAGAAGAAGCACCGGCUAACUCCGUGCCAGCCGCCGCCGUAAUAC
rnacentral:rRNA from 1 species